AACUGCCUGAGGAUCCAGCUAUACCUCUCUUGGGCAUAUACCCAAAAGAUGCCUCAACAUAUAAAAGAGACACGUGCUCCACUAUGUUCAUCGCAGCCUUAUUUAUAAUAGCCAGAAAAUGGAAAGAACCCAGAUGCCCUUCAACAGAGGAAUGGAUACAGAAAAUGUGGUACAUCUACACAAUGGAAUAUUACUCAGCUAUCAAAAACAACGAGUUUAUGAAAUUCGUAGGCAAAUGGUUGGAACUGGAAAAUAUCAUCCUGAGUGAACUAACCCAAUCACAGAAAGACAUAC
rnacentral:lncRNA from 1 species